CCUGAGCAGAUUUUAGCAGUUUAAGAAUGGAAGAGUAUGAAAACCAGGAGCUGCCUCUGGAGGAAGUAAUUCCUCCCAACCCAAUCUCAUCUACCAGAUCCAAGAGGAGAAUUUGCGUCCAGUAGGGAAUGGAGAUACAGGCUCCAGAGAGAUACAGAUAAAGAAUGAGUCACCAGAGGAAUGGGACGGACCCAGUAAAGGACGACGACCUCUGGCAACAGAAAAGGAUUGGACUGAGUGGCUCAUGCAGAAGAGAUGCUACCUCAAAAGGGUACCAGAUCCAGAAACAAUAACAUGAACUAGACAACUUAGCCAAGAGGAAGAGAAGACUUCUGAUGGAGAAGGGCAAAGUGAGCCCCUAAAAUGGGAGUGUGGAACCUGAAGGCUAAAGAUGCCCAGGGGGUCUAUGGACAAAUUCCAGGGGAUUUGUGGAUUUGAUUUUAAAAUAUGCUUUGAUAACUGUA